rnacentral:lncRNA from 1 species
UUGAGAUUGACCUAGAAUUCCUUUACUGCCCCUAUCUUCCAUAUUCUGUGCUAUGCAGCUGUGUGUGAUUCUUCACAACUGUGUUAUCCUACUUGUUCCUAUUCCUGCCCCAAACUACCACUAGUUCAUCUUGGGUGUGUGUAUUUGUGUUGGGAGGGAGAGAUAGAAAGAGAUGGAUAGAUGGAUUCAUGCAGAUGCCACAGUGCCCAUUUGGAAGUCACACAGCCUUUGACGGUUUGUCCAUUCCUUUUACUGUGGUCUGAUGAUUAUUCUGGGUUUCAGGUUAUUAGGCUUUCACUGUCCAGCAGUUUCUCUGCUGAACUAUAUUUCAGCCUCCCUUCAUCCCCAUUAAUUCUUCUUAAGUGGCUUAAAUAAUUCCUUUUGUUUUAUUUAUUAUGUUUUUGAGACAAUCUCACUGUGUAGCUCAGGCUGACCUGAAACUCAUGGGUGGCAAUGUCUUCCCUUUAUCUCCCGAGUGUUGGGACUGUAGUGUGAAACACCUCACCUGUGGGUUUUUUUUUUUUUUAAUGGACUAUAAUGCUCCAGUAUGAGGAGAGGCAGCACUGGAGAAUGUCUCCCAGCUGACUCACUAAGUGAGUCACUUUAAAAAAGCAAUCUGUUGGAAUUCUGGCCUGCUCAACAAGAGGGAAAGCAUGUUUAGUACUGGAAACCUAGCCAACUACCCAGAACUAGUGAAGUCAUGGAUCUUGGAAGAGAACCUACAAUCAACCGCCACUUCUAAACCAGCAUAAUCCUUAACUACAUUUAAAAUUUUUUUUUCAUACAGAAUACUUUGAUCUGAUUAUUUGCCUUCUUCCAACUCCUCCCAGGUUUUUCUUAACUCCUGACCAAUGUGUACAUGAGAGCCCAAGCAAACUUCCCGAAAGCAGCAACCCUCAAAAGCAGAAAGAAACAAAACAAAAUGAGUGCACAUAAAAAUGGAGUCCGCACGCCUUUAAUCCUAGCACUUGGGAGGCAGAGGCAGGUGGAUUUCUGAGUUCGAGGCCAGCCUGGUCUACAGAGUGAGUUCCAGAACAGCCAGGGCUACACAGAGAAACCCUGUCUCAAAAAACCAAAAAAAACAAAAAGCAAAAAACACCCCCCCCCCAAAAAAAAAGGAGUCCAUUUUGGUUUUGUGUUGGUCAUUUCCUCCUGCGCAUGGGGCAUGUUAUACCUCCCAGUGGCACCUCAUUGUAGGAAGCUGAUUUUCUUUUCCCAGCAGGUAUCAAUUGCAGAUAGCUUCUUGGUCUAGAGUGGGACCUUCUCUGUGCUGCUUUUCUGCCUGGUUUGAACUUGGGCAGGAUUUGUGCCUGCUGUCACAGUUGCUGUGAGUUCAUAAAGAUAACUGUCCUGUUGUCUCUGGAAAAUGGUGUUUAUGGCUUAGAGUCAUCUGCCACCUCUGGCUUGAACGAUCUUUCUACCUCUUCUAAAUAGCUGCAUUUUGCAUAGACACAUUUUAAAUAUUGAUCUUUAUGCCUCACCUUUCAUCAUCUAACUUCUUUUUGCAAUGGAGGGGAACCAUUACAGAAAAUGAUAACCCACAAAAUAAAGGGUUGUAGAGCCCAGUUAUAACCAUUACAUCUACAACACAGCUCCUGCACCUAAGGCUCGGGGAUCAUUGCGUAAGAGUGAGUAGAAAAGAUUGUUAAGAGCCAGAGCAUCUUUUGAUGUGGGAGUGUCUCCUAGAAAUGACAGAAGCUACACUCAUGAGGUCUCAUCAGCAUAGUUGCAUGAACACGACCUGAAAAAGGACUAUACCAGUAGACAUGCUAAUAUGAGAGGGGAAAAGCUUACAAGGUCUCUAGACAAAUAGAGAAGUGUCCCUUCCCACUCCCCUAAUUGCUUAUCAAAUACCAAAAGGUCAGUCCUGAGAGCAUACAUACAAGUAACAUCAUUUGGACUGAACAGGUUGUUUUUAUGUGUUUAGGAAUACACACACAUACACAGACAUAUUCAAACAAUUAAAGAAAAAGAGGCCAUGAGUUUGAAAGAGAGUGUGGUGUGAAUGUACGUGAGGGGUUGGAAGGAGAAAAGACAAGCUGGAAAUCAUAUAACUAAUCUUUUUUUUUUUUUAAAGAUUUAUUUAUUAUAUGUAAGUACAUUGUAGCUAUCUUCAGACACUCCAGAAGAGGGCAUCAGAUCUUGUUACAGAUGGUUGUAAGCCACCAUGUGGUUGCUGGGAUUUGAACUUAGGACCUUUGGAAGAGCAGUCAGUGCUCUUAACCACUGAGCCAUCUCUCCAGCUCCAUGUAACUAAUCUU